rnacentral:rRNA from 1 species
UACGUAGGUCCCGAGCGUUGUCCGGAUUUAUUGGGCGUAAAGCGAGCGCAGGUGGUUUAUUAAGUCUGAUGUGAAAGCCCACGGCUUAACCGUGGAGGGUCAUUGGAAACUGGUUGACUUGAGUGCAGAAGAGGGAAGUGGAAUUCCAUGUGUAGCGGUGAAAUGCGUAGAGAUAUGGAGGAACACCAGUGGCGAAGGCGGCUCUCUGGCCUGUAACUGACACUGAGGCUCGAAAGCGUGGGGAGCAAACAGG